CGUUGAAACACCAGUUCUCGUAAGAUCACGAAGUUAAACAACUUCGAGCCUUGUCAGUACCUAGAUGGGUGACCGCUUGAGAAUACCAGGAGGUGUUA